CGUCACUUAGUAAACAAAAAAUGGCGAUGUUUCAUUCUGCUAACAUCUAGAUUCUACAUCUAAUUAUAUUCUACAUCUAAUAAAAUAUGUAAAUUUAUCGCAGUAAAAAGAGGAAUAGUGUACGAUUAAAUCCUCAGAUCAAUAAAAGGAUGAACAGUCACAUGAUGCUUUUAACUUUAAUAAGUCUUUUUUGUAUCUUUGGUGUUCUUGAUGGUACUGAAAAACCGAUGCAAUUAGACAUGAAAAUCGAGGGAUAUGAAAAGGAGUGCGAUGAUGCCAACAACUGUGUCUACACCGGCCGAAUUUAUGGACGCGUCGCGGGCUUUUCAAACACUACCAACAGCUGCUACGCGAUUUUUCUGAGACAUUGCUAUACAAACUUGGAUUGUUCCAAUAAUGUAUCUAAUUGGC